CGCACGGGUGAGUAACACGUAUCCAACCUGCCGUCUACUCUUGGCCAGCCUUCUGAAAGGAAGAUUAAUCCAGGAUGGCAUCAUGAGUUCACAUGUCCGCAUGAUUAAAGGUAUUUUCCGGUAGACGAUGGGGAUGCGUUCCAUUAGAUAGUAGGCGGGGUAACGGCCCACCCAGUCAACGAUGGAUAGGGGUUCUGAGAGGAAGGUCCCCCACAUUGGAACUGAGACACGGUCCAA
rnacentral:rRNA from 1 species